rnacentral:rRNA from 1 species
GAUGAACGCUGGCGGCGUGCUUAACACAUGCAAGUCGAACGAAGCACUUACGACAGAAUCCUUCGGGAGGAAGAUGUAAUUGACUGAGUGGCGGACGGGUGAGUAACGCGUGGGUAACCUGCCCUAUACAGGGGGAUAACAGUUAGAAAUGACUGCUAAUACCACAUAACCCGCUAGUAUCGCAUGAUACAGACGGAAAAGAUUUAUUGGUAUAGGAUGGGCCCGCGUCUGAUUAGCUAGUUGGUGGGGUAAUGGCCUACCAAGGCGACGACGGGUAGCCGGCCUGAGAGGGCGACCGGCCACACUGGAACUGAGACACGGUCCAG